AUGGAGUUAGAUAUGCCGUCAAGUUUUCCGAGAGAAAGUGUGCCGAGCGUCGCAGAGGCCUUGCAAACUUGUAUAAAUAAAACAGUCGUUGUGAUGAUUGUAAAACAGCAUGCAGAUGAUUAUAACAGCUGUGUAGUUAGAGUUGUGAGGAGGGAGAUUUGUUUGGAUACUUUGGACUUUCUUGCAGAAAAUGGAUAUAGCGAAGGUCCUGACUCAAGCCCUCAAUUCAGUUUACAUGAAGGUCAGCAGCUAGAAUUUUAUUGUACAGGAAACAUUGAAAAUCGAGCUGAAAAAGAUCUAAAUAAAUAUACAUAUCUGUCUUAUAUGGGCGGCGUGGAGACUGACAUGACAUUACAUGUUAAGGACUCGUGGAAACAGAAAGAUCUUCCAGCAUAUGUGGGAACAAUUAGAUGCAGGAUUUUGAACAGAAGUGUGCAUUCCGAGACGCUAUGUAUGCAUGCAGCUGAACUAAAAAUAUCCCUUCCAAAGCAAAUGAGACAACGCGGAACAAUCAAUGUAGCAAGAGUCAGAGUUCCUUUUUAUCUGAUCACGUUGGCAUCCUACCUGUCUCACACUUUGUGCAAGGAUGACAAGAGCAUUUGGGAGACAGUUUUAAAAUCCCUUCUUGGUAGUUCAGAAUUCAGUUCCGCAUGUAGAAACGCUAAGAGGAAGACAGCGGAAAGUGACGAAGAGUCUGUUUGCAGGACAAUGUUACUCGAUUGGAUGAAAGCACAAGCCAUGCAUGUAGACAAGGUAGUUAGACCGUACACUUAAUAUUAUUUUUAAAUCUGCUACCUUGUAUUAAAAUCAUUUAGUGUUUUACGGGAAAGUCAAUGCCGUAAGUUUUUGCGGCCACAAUAUACAACCUGUGACAUUAUUCACGAUGAAAUAGACAUGCCAUUCAUUUUUAGAUUUAUUGAAAUAUUGAAGCAUUCUAAGCUGAAUAAAUUUGUCAUUUGAUAUAUGUACGAAAUAGUAAUCAACCGUAACCGUUUCAUAAAUAUUUCUGUAGCUGGGUCCUAUCACAGUUGCCUUGAAAUACAACGGGUAUGAAGGCAUAGCAGAGACAUGUAUAGACUUCGUGCGAUUUCAGAAAGAAAAUCUGUCGGACGCUGUACUCAUCGAGUUGGCACAAGGAAUAACAAAGGACGUACACACUUUAGGCAAAGAUCUUGGUUUGGACAAAAAGGAAAUCGAGAAAUGCAUCAAACAACAUCCAAACAACAUUAAAAGUCAAUAUAUAGCUGAGAUGAUGGAAUGGCGAGAGUCAGACCGUGCUAUAGAACAACAUGACAAUGCGCUAGAAUAUCUGAGGAAUAUGUGUGUCUAAGUAUAUAUUGCAAACAACAACACAAUAAUUUAUGUUUGCUACAGAACUGCUGUUUCAAUUAUAUACGGAUAAACUAAAGAUGAAACAAUAUCCUUCAGGAAAUCCUUCUUGUUCCGUCUUAUUAUGACUUUGAAUAUAACCUAUUUAGUUUAAUGAUUUAGUGAGAUGUUUAUAGUCAUUUCGAAAUAAGUUGACGAAACUCCGUCAGUCCUAACAUAUCUAGUGACGGUCGUAUAUCAGUUUUGUAUCUGUCUUGUUUGUAACUCAAUCAUUUUCUUUCAUUAUUUUAUGCGUACAAGUGUUCGUCGAAACAUAAAAAAAUAGUGAAAAGGCGAGGCGAUACAACAUAAUGUCAUUUAGAAAAUAUUUUCUGUUAAAUUAUUUGUGAGAAGCAUUAAUUUGGUUAAUUGAAUUGAAUAAUUUAGUGACAAAAGAAGAUAGAUCCCUUAUCAA